UUACAAGAGACAAUUUACUUUUUAGAUACAUCAAAUAAUUUAUGUAUUUGGUUUAUUGACCAAAUACAUAAAUUAUUUGAUGUAUCUAAAAAGUAAAUUGUCUCUUGUAA
rfam:Medicago truncatula strain A17 chromosome 2, whole genome shotgun sequence.